rnacentral:rRNA from 1 species
AUGGCGUCGAGCACCGGGCAGGCAACUCCUAGUCCCGCCUCACCUGUUGCGACAAAUUCUGCUCCUCUGCCGGCGACAAACAUGGAGCCCAAGAUGGACGCCGGGCUGCUAGCAUUGACCUGCUCUGGCUCUUUCCAAGAUCUGGAAUCACUCCUCAACGGGAGACCAGCAGCCUACACCAUCGGAAGCUCGGCGACGCAGCCACCAUCUUUGUACACGGUCACUGUUGGAGGUGACACCCUUCUCCACGUGGUCGCCGCCAUCCAUGGCGACACUGAGGACUCCACCAAGAAGGCCAGCCUCGUCUUCGACAAGGCACCUAGCCUCCUCUUCGUGCAGAACAGCCAGGGAGACACACCCCUGCACUGUGCUGCACGGGCGGGGAACAUCCGAAUGGUGUCUCUUCUUGUUGAUCUCGCCAAUGGUCAGGGUGUUAACAAUGCUAAGGGGCUGCUGGAAACACAAAACAAGAACAAGCAGACAGCCUUGCACGAGGCCGUCCGCUCCGGGGACAAUGAUAUGGUCAAGUUGUUCAUGGGGGUGAACCCACAACUGGCCCGUUUUCCUGAACAAGGUACUUCGCCGUUGUACUUGGCCAUCUUACUGGAAAACAAAAUCAUCGCAAAUACACUCUACGAGUUGAGCGGCGGGGCUAUUUCAUAUUCUGGACCAAGUGGACAAAAUGCAUUACAUGCUGCUGUUCUCCGAGGCAAA